rnacentral:lncRNA from 1 species
UUUCGAAGAUAAAAAUCCUUUAUUGAUUAACCCAUAAACUGACCUAGGUAAAUCCAUGAACUCCAUUGGAUUAUUCCUUCUGAUUAAGCAUAUGAACCAUGAAUUGUCUUAACAAGAUAAUUCAAUCAAUCCCUUGUUUUGAAAGAACUCUUCAAGGACCAAAUGGUCCCUUUCCUUCAUACAUCAUAUAAAUAAAUCUAAAACCCCAG